ensembl:snRNA U6 U6 spliceosomal RNA
GUGCUCGCUUCAGCAGCACAUAUACUAAAAUUGGAAUGAUACAGAGAAGAUUAGCAUGGCCCCUGUGCAAGGAUGACAUGCAAAUUCGUGAAGUGUUCCAUUAAAAA